AGCUGAUAGCAAGUUUAGUGAGCGUUGCCGGACGUCGAGGUGGUCUGGGUAAGGCUGACUGAGACCAGAUCCAUUGCAUCCUUAAUAUCCAAAACCCUCUGUCAAUGUUUGAGAAGUAUCACUGUGGAGAAGAUCGUGGUGAGAUUCAGAUUGAUGUGUUUUUGUUGUGUGCUUCCAACAUGUGUGCAGAACCAGAGCUCUCGUUAUUUUUACAUGAGGAUUUUGCUGCUAGGAUUUGGGUGUUCAGAAGAUUCAGAGACAGCGACGGCCAUCUGCA